UACUUGACCUAGAGCGGCGCACGGGUGCGUAACGCGUAUGCAACCUACCUUUUACUGGGGGAUAGCCCGGAGAAAUCUGGAUUAAUACCCCAUAGUAUCUACGAAUCGAUUGGUUUGUAGCUUAAAGAUUUAUCGGUAAGAGAUGGGCAUGCGUCUGAUUAGCUAGUUGGCGGGGUAACGGCCCACCAAGGCGACGAUCAGUAGGGGUUCUGAGAGGAAGGUCCCCCACACUGGCACUGAGAUACGGGCCAGACUCCUACGGGAGGCAGCAGUAGGGAAUAUUGGGCAAUGGUCGCAAGACUGACCCAGCCAUGCCGCGUGCAGGAUGAAGGCCCUCUGGGUUGUAAACUGCUUUUAUCUGGGAAGAAAAAGUCCAUGCGUGGAAAAUUGCCGGUACCAGAUGAAUAAGCACCGGCUAACUCCGUGCCAGCAGCCGCGGUAAUACGGAGGGUGCAAGCGUUGUCCGGAUUUAUUGGGUUUAAAGGGUGCGUAGGCGGCUGAAUA
rnacentral:rRNA from 1 species